AAAUCUCUUAAAGCUUCUCUCAGUUCGGAUUGCAGGCUGCAACUCGCCUGCAUGAAGCCGGAAUCGCUAGUAAUCGCGGAUCAGCACGCCGCGGUGAAUACGUUCCCGGGCCUUGUACACACCGCCCGUCACACCACGAGAGUUUGUAACACCCGAAGUCGGUGAGGUAACCUUUUUGGAGCCAGCCGCCUAAGGUGGGAUAGAUGAUUGGGGUGAAGUCGUAACAAGGUAGCCGUAUCGGAAGGUGCGGCUGGAUCACCUCCUUUCUAAGGAA
rnacentral:rRNA from 1 species